rnacentral:rRNA from 1 species
CGAACGAUUAAACCGCCCUCGGGCGGACAUAGAGUGGCGAACGGGUGAGUAACACGUGACCAACCUGCCCCGCGCUCCGGGACAACCGCUUGAAACGGCGGCUAAUACCGGAUACUCCGGGAGGGCCCCAUGGCCCUGCCGGGAAAGCCGAGACGGCGCGGGAUGGGGUCGCGGCCCAUUAGGUAGACGGCGGGGUAACGGCCCACCGUGCCCGCGAUGGGUAGCCGGACUGAGAGGUCGACCGGCCACAUUGGGACUGAGAUACGGCCCAGACUCCUACGGAAGGCAGCAG